UACGUAGGGGGCAAGCGUUGUCCGGAUUUAUUGGGCGUAAAGAGCGUGUAGGCGGCUUUACAGGUCCGUUGUGAAAACUCGAGGCUCAACCUCGAGACGCCGGUGGAAACCGUAAGGCUAGAGUCCGGAAGAGGAGAGUGGAAUUCCUGGUGUAGCGGUGAAAUGCGCAGAUAUCAGGAAGAACACCGGUGGCGAAGGCGGGUCUCUGGGCCGAUACUGACGCUGAGGAGCGAAAGCGUGGGGAGCGAACAGG
rnacentral:rRNA from 1 species